rnacentral:rRNA from 1 species
CCGGAUCUCAGAUCAAGUNA